CUGGCGGGCUUGAGUGCAGGAGAGGGAAGUGGAAUUCCUAGUGUAGCGGUGAAAUGCGUAGAGAUUAGGAGGAACACCAGUGGCGAAGGCGGCUUCCUGGCCUGUAACUGACGCUGAGGCACGAAAGCGUGGGGAGCAAACAGGAUUAGAUACCCUGGUAGUCCACGCCGUAAACGAUGGAUACUAGGUGUAGGUGCUGAUUGAGGCAUCUGUGCCGUAGUUAACGCAAUAAGUAUCCCGCCUGGGGAGUACGGCCGCAAGGCUGAAACUCAAAGGAAUUGACGGGGGCCCGCACAAGCAGCGGAGCAUGUGGUUUAAUUCGAAGCAACGCGAAGAACCUUACCAGGGCUUGACAUCCCUCUGGAUGGUAUAGAGAUAUACCAGGCCUGUACUAUUGGUGUACAGGACAGAGGAGACAGGUGGUGCAUGGUUGUCGUCAGCUCGUGUCGUGAGAUGUUGGGUUAAGUCCCGCAACGAGCGCAACCCUUAUCCCUAGUUGCCAGCACGUAGUGGUGGGGACUCUAGGGAGACUGCCGUGGAUAACACGGAGGAAGGUGGGGACGACGUCAAAUCAUCAUGCCCCUUAUGUCCUGGGCUACACACGUGCUACAAUGGCCAGCAACAGAGGGGAGCGAAGCGGUAACGCGGAGCGAAUCCCAAAAACCUGGUCUCAGUUCGGAUUGUGGGCUGCAACUCGCCCACAUGAAGUCGGAGUUGCUAGUAAUCGCGAAUCAGCAUGUCGCGGUGAAUACGUUCCCGGGCCUUGUACACACCGCCCGUCACACCAUGGGAGUUGGGGGCACCCGAAGCCGGUGGCCUAACCCUGAGAAAGGGAGGGAGCCGUCGAAGGUGAACUCAAUGACUGGGGUGAAGUCGUAACAAGGUAGCCGUA
rnacentral:rRNA from 1 species